rnacentral:sRNA from 1 species
AUGGCUGUCGUCAGCUCGUGUCGUGAGAUGUUGGGUUAAGUCCCGCAACGAGCGCAACCCUUGUCCUUAGUUGCCAGCAUUUAGUUGGGGACUCUAAGGAGACUGCCGGUGUGAAACCGGAGGAAGGUGGGGAUGACGUCAAGUCCUCAUGGCCCUUAUGUCUAGGGCUACACACGUGCUACAAUGGCCGGUACAAUGCGUUGCAAUGCCGCGAGGUGGAGCUAAUCGCAAAAAGCCGGUCUCAGUUCGGAUUGGAGUCUGCAACUCGACUCCAUGAAGUCGGAAUCGCUAGUAAUCGUGGAUCAGCAUGCCACGGUGAAUACGUUCCCGGGCCUUGUACACACCGCCCGUCACACCAUGGGAGUCGUUUGGACCAGAAGUCGCAGGCCUAACCUUCGGGAAGGAUGCGCCGAAGGUCUGAGCGGUAACUGGGGUGAAGUCGUAACAAGGUAGCCGUAGGGGAACCUGCGGCUGGAUCACCUCCUAAAGGAGUACUGUUCGAGGAAUCAUCCUUGAACGUAUCCAUGGUCAAACCGAUGCACUCGCUCCCUUCGGGAAGCUUGGCGCAUCGGCACCAAUCGGUCUCAAUGAAGACCAACCCCCGCGCUUUUAGCAGUCUCUUCUGUUCAGCUUUCGACGAGUCGCUCGUGGACUCGGUCAGGUCUUUGAAAUUCCAAUAAGAGAGGUAUCGCAACGUAGCUGACGUUGCGGUUCCAAAGAGGUCUCUUUCUUCCGGCUUUGGUCAGAAGAGAGAGGUUAAUGCUCGUUUCGAGCGAUUCCCUGGAGGGGUUUCGCAGACACUCGAGCGACGUACAGAAGGGUCCAAGACAUCUCCUCGUGAGUUGAAUUGGUCCCGCUGAGCGUCACGCGCAAUAAAGAUAGGACUUACACUGUGAGUCAGCAUCGUGCUGACGAUAGGGUGUGAGGGACAAGGCGAAGGUUAAGCUACAAAGGGCUUACGGUGAAUGCCUUGGCGCUAAGAGGCGAUGAAGGACGUGGUAAGCUGCGAAAAGCUUCGGGGAGCUGCUAACAUGCGAUAAUCCGGAGAUGUCCGAAUGGGGAAACCCGG